rnacentral:tRNA from 1 species
GCGCCCGUGGCUCAAUUGGAUAGAGUGUUUGGCUGCGGACCAGAAGGUUGAAGGUUCGAAUCCUGCCGGGCCCA